GAUGAACGCUGGCGGCGUGCCUAAUACAUGCAAGUCGAGCGAACAGAUGAGGAGCUUGCUCCUCUGACGUUAGCGGCGGACGGGUGAGUAACACGUGGAUAACCUACCUAUAAGACUGGGAUAACUUCGGGAAACCGGAGCUAAUACCGGAUAAUAUAUUGAACCGCAUGGUUCAAUAGUGAAAGACGGUUUUGCUGUCACUUAUAGAUGGAUCCGCGCCGCAUUAGCUAGUUGGUAAGGUAACGGCUUACCAAGGCAACGAUGCGUAGCCGACCUGAGAGGGUGAUCGGCCACACUGGAACUGAGACACGGUCCAGACUCCUACGGGAGGCAGCAGUGGGGAAUCUUCCGCAAUGGGCGAAAGCCUGACGGAGCAACGCCGCGUGAGUGAUGAUGGUCUUCGGAUCGUAAAACUCUGUUAUUAGGGAAGAACAAAUGUGUAAGUAACUAUGCACGUCUUGACGGUACCUAAUCAGAAAGCCACGGCUAACUACGUG
rnacentral:rRNA from 1 species